rnacentral:lncRNA from 1 species
AAGUAAACAAGGCCUAAUACUAAGCGCUGUCUGGUUGAUCGCGUUGUAAAUCAAAGUCUUCAACAGUGUAUGAAAAUAAGACUUUGAAUGUGGCCAAAUUUAUGAAGGAGGGAGAUGAAUUUCAAAGAUUUCAAACCCUAUAGAAAGUUUGUACUCAUUCCCAAUGUCCCUCUAUAAAUAAGGAGGGACUCUCAUCCUUGUACAUGGACAUCCAGAAAGUGAAAUACAGAAAUAGCUUCUUCUUCCUCCCAUCUCUCUGUCUGUGUUUUGAUUUGAGUGCUUGUGAGCAAUCCAGAGAAGUCAAUUUCUAACACGUUAUCAACACGAAUUCUACCGAGCUAAAAGGUAAAUAGGUGAGAAAUCGAUUUACUUAAUGCUCAUCAUAUUUUUGUUCAUGAACAAACACUAGUAUCUCGCUGCCAUCCUGAAGAUGUGCAUGCGGGCCAAGACACCGACGUCCUGAAGACGUGCGGAUUGGAACGCGGACGCGCGGGUGCCUCUAGCCCCGUCAUCACGCGAAUCCUGCCCCCUGCACGCCGUGGCCGUGGGAACGCCGAACUGCGGGCUCGACAACCGGCCACCGAGCGUCACAUGCCGUCGGGCGGACCACGCCGCUGCCCGCUCGGGCCUGGGCCGGCCGCACUGUCGCGCACCGGUCACCGCGCGCAGGCCGCAAGCGAGCCGCGCCACCACUGCCACGCGCCAGGACGGGCCAGACCGCUGCCGCCGUGCGCGCGGACAGCAGCCGCAGGCCAUACACCUGCCCGGUGCUGCGCCUGCAGGGGAGCCGCGCUCGUGCCCCUGGCCGGCCCAGGACGCAACCGCCAGCCGCAGGGCCACGAGCCAGCCCAGGCCGCCGUGGCCACCGCGCGCGCAACCGCUGGGGGCCGCACGCCCUGGCUGCUCGUUGCGAGCCACGCGCCCGCCGGAGCCGUGGGCCGCGCCCGCCGUGCCACCACGCCCGCGCUGGCCGACGAGAGGCCGCCAGCCGCCGGGACCGCGCGCGCCUGGCCGCCAGGGGCCACGCCGGGCCGCCGAGCCGCCGGAGCUGGCAGGCCACGAGCCGCCGGGGGCUACGCGCGCCUAGCCGCGUGCUAGUGAGCCCCAGGCCGUGGGCGAGCCAGCUGUCGCGCGUCGAGGCCAAGCAGGCAGCAUCGGCUGCCGUGCUCUCCAUGGCCAACUCCCUUCGCCUCUCUGUUUCCUGAAGAAACAAGACAAGAAGAGAGAGAAGGGAAGAAAUAAGAACGGGCCUGGUCAAUGUACAGGGGUUCAUGCGGCUCAUCUUUUGAGCCAACAGAGACCACGUGAAUUGCUUAUCUCCCAAAGAGAUAAGGAUCCCUAGGGGCCCCACCCACUGUGACGCAUGCACCGAUAAAAUGGCCUGAAGCCAUGACUAUGCUGGCAACGACUAUCAAAUCUCUCAUCUCGUAUAUAUACAUGUUGGCCUGAAGCCACUGUAUAUAAUAAUGGCCUGGGGUCAUUUGAUUUAUGCUUUUGCAACCAAAAGUUGCAUAUAAAGCUGCGAGCAACCAUAAGUUGCAUGCUUAACCUCGAGUCAAAAAUGGUGGCAUAACGUUUCACUAUAAUAUAUAAAUACACAGCCCGAAGUUCGUGAAUCACGUGCGGCCUGAAGUCCGCCAUAUUUCUUUAUUAUUAUUAUUAUUAUUGUCAUUACUGCUAUUAUUUAUUUAUUGCAAUUAUUUAUUGUGUUUAAAUUAUACAUAAUUACUUCAUUGCAGUUUAGUCACAAAGUAAUCCAGAAGAUUAUAUGGGAAAAUAAAAGUGUAGUCCCGAAGAUUACACCUAAUUGUAAUCUUAAAGAUUACAAUCAAAAGCAUUUUUUUAUUUUGAUCUGUGUGCACCUGACCACGUACCUAGGCGGCCUGAAGCCGCUGAACAGAAAGCCUCAAGCCUUGUGUUUACAAAUAUGAUGGUCCAUACUGAGUGGCCAAAAGGUCACGCAAAUAUGAUCCGAAGCCCGCAAACGAUAAAAAGUGAACCUGCAGUUCACCAUGUCAUACCGCUACGUGGCCUGAAGUCCGUAAAAUCGUUAAGGCCCGAAGUCCUUACACGGCAUGACUGUUUACAUUAUUGCAAGUUUUAUAUCAUUGCAAGUUAUAUUUAUUUACUGCAAUUUACUUUUUUUGCAAUUAUUUAAUUUCUGCAUAUUUAUGCAAGCUUAUAGUUAUGAGAACCGCAUAUGAUCCUGAAGAUUAUAUGCAUGAGAUAAUAUUUGGGGAAAUAUAGUCCUGAAGGCUAUAUAAGAAUGUGUAAUCCUGAAGAUUACACACGACCGUAAUCCUGAAGAUUACGUGUAACCAACAUUCACUAAUUAUUGGUCGGACAUUGCGAAAAUAGAGAUUCGCUAGGCUAGCCGUGAACGACAGCAACUAUCUCACUUGGGAUAUUGACGUUGAGAAUUAAAAUCGACGACAGGUGUCUCGAUGAUACCAUUGUUUAGCCUGAAGCUAACAAUGGUGAGUGCACAAUACUUAAUAAAGCAGAGGACCGUUUACACUUAGACCUGAAGUAUGAGAAUAUAAAUGAGGACGAUCCAAUAGUUUUAUGGCAGUCCCUGAAGGACCGCUUCAAUCAGCAAAAGUCAAUUGUGUUCUCCAAAAAAAAUGUACGGCUCUGCUUUACAUAGGAUUGUGUCCAGACUACGUUUAUGUGACCAGAAGAUCACUAACGCAGAUAUGAUCAAGAAAACUCUUUCUACCCUCCAUCCCAGCAACAUAGUACUAUAUCAGCAAUAUACAAGUACCCAAAGUACUAUGGGCUGAUAACGGUACUAUUAAUUGCAAAAACAAUAGAAUGAGGUUCUCAUGAACGAUCAUUCUGCACGGCAACUGUGCCUGAAGCGCAUGUUACUGUUGCUAGGAAUUCUAGCAACCACAAGGAUGGCCGUGAAAAGGGAAAACGGAAGGGAAACAGGUGUCAUCCCAAGAGAGUAAAGGCGGAUUCGAGAAGGUCGCAGGUGAAACAUCUAGGUAGCGGAAGCACUGUCCUAGAUGUGGAGGCAUGAGACAUUGGUCCCGCAAUUGUCAUGCCCAAAACACCUAGUUGACCUCUACCAAAGUUCUUCCAGAAGCAAGAACAAGGAGAGUCAACAUAAAUCCCACCUCACCACUGAGCAUGAAGCUCAGAAAUGCGGAAGACACAUUUGUCACCGCUAAGAGAAAUGGUGGACAUCCAAGUGGAUGUGAGUGGGGAUAACCUUCUCCUGAUUUCUUUGAUAUAUCUAGGGACCUGCUAAUCCCUGAGAUAUCAUGUUAGUCACAAUGCAAUGUCCACAUACACCAAUUGAGUUUGGCCAUUCAUGCUCCUGAAGAGCAUUUAUAGCAUGUUGAGUGAUGGCCAUGCAUGCUCCUGUAGAGCAUUUUUAAUAAGUUAUGAAUGUUGGUUUUUGGCCUUUGAACAUAUGCCAAAUCUCCAAAUUCUCAUACCAGUGGGAGCCCAUAUGAUUGAAGUGGAAAACUGUCCUGCAGACAAUGACACCACCAAUAUUAAGGGAGACUAGAUAUUUCCAAAUAUUGACUGAGAAAAUGGAAAUAUUAUGACCAUCGACGGAAGCAAUGCUCAUAUCAUGAGGGCACCUGAAGUGUCGCGCUAGUCCUCCCAUGAGUAAUCAAAAUAUGUGGUGAAUAUAUUCCCUUCAUUGCCAUCGGGCCUGUACUACACAGACAUAAUCCCACUGAGAGAUAUGUUGCGAUGAAAGCCAUAUUAUUUUAGAAGAAUAAGAAUAUGGCAUAUUAGGUCAUCCUGGGAUGGAUAUGAUGAGAAAAUCAUCAAUAAUUCUAUUGGCCAUAAAGACUUCCCUAAUCCUAAAGAUUUUAUUUGCACCGCACGUGCAAAGGGAAGGUUAAUCACUAGGCCAUCCAUCCUGAAGAUUAGGGAUGAGUCACAAAGAGGCCUAGUUGAGUCCUUGAUCAAAAGGAUCAAGUGGAUAAUAUAUGGCCAUUGCUGCAGAAUCAAAGGCUGCCAACCAGCAGUUGGGGCCAUGCAGCAUUGCAUACUACAAGAUUUAUCCAACUUAGGGCAACUGCACAUCCCCCAUAUGGCUAGUGUGUGAGAAAGAAAGUAUUUCCCAUCUGCGCAUAUUAAGUUGUGCGAUAUAUGUGCCAGUAUCGCCAUAUCAGCGUACACCAAAGAAACCCCACCAGAAGCUGGGAUGUAUGAGCCUAUGACUGGGGAUCUUCAUGAGGCUCGGUAAGCUGAUUGCAUUUCCCAGCAUUAGGGGGAGAUAGGCAUCCAGAAGAAUGCCGGGAAAUUGCAUGAAAAAGAAUAAAGGCAUUCCUUCUACCCACACACUAGUAAAUCUGGACCAGAAGUUCAGAAAAUUAUGCAUUUGCAAAAUUACUGCAAAUGAGCUGCCAAAUGCCUUCACUGAUUAGAAAAAUGACAAGGCCACAUUUACCUGUAGUAAAUGUGCUAGAGAGAGUUCGGGUAUCCCUGAAGGUUACCAACUCUAUUGUCUCCAUCCUGAUCCUAGGUUGAGGGGGAGACCUCUGGGUGCUCAGAUAAGGUUCCGUGGAGACGUCCACGUAGACAAGGUCUUGAGCCACUUGUAUCAUUUAAAGAAUCUGUUGAAGAAGCUCGACCUGAAGUCGAGAAUGCCCCUGAAGUGGCAACUCGACCUGAAGUUGAGGAGGUCCCUAAACGACACCAUCCUGAAGAUGGAAAUCCCAAUGCGUCAAGCGUGCACCAUCGCAUUGGAAGAUCGGAACGCCCCAACUCAAUCGUUAUGGGAAAUCUCGAUGAGUGGGAGGACGAUCAUGAAGAGAUCGCCACUAAUUAUGAGGAAUCAGGAGAGUCAUAUUAUAGAAAGACCACCGUUGUCGACACAUAUUUUGCCUCAAAAAUUGUUGGCUCAAUGGAUCCGGAUCCAAACCAAGUCCACGACAGAGUGCCGGAAGCACUCGGAUUGGGACAAAUAGAAAGCCGCAAUUGAGGCAGAGUUGCGCUCGCUUUAUGAAAGAGAGGCUUCUUGGGCCUGCAGUCCCAAAACCUCCAAAGUCAUCCCUGAAGGAUGCAAAUGGGUCUUCCUCCUGAAGAGGAAUAAACAUGGCACAAAGCGAGGCUGGUGGCAUGAGGGUUUACGCAGAGACCCGACAUCGAUUAUGAUGAAACUUACUCUCCCAUGAGUGGCAUAACGUUCUGAUAUCUGAUACCUAUGGCAGCUAACUUGAACUUAAAAAUGCAGUUGAUGGAUAUUGUGACCGCAUACUGGUAUGGGUCACUUGAUUCGGGAAUCCACAUAAGAAUCCCUGCAGGACUCAAGAUCCCUGGACCGAAUCAAAAUCGUAACAUGUUUAGCGUCCGCCUGCAGCGGUCGUUGUAUGGGUUGAGACAAUCCGGAAGGAUGUGGUUCAACCGUUGAGUAACUUUGUCCUGCAGAGAGGUUACAUCAAUAAAGAUGAUUGUCCCUAUGUUUUAUAAAGAAAUCCAAUAAUAGAUUUUGCAUAAUCUCCGUCUAUGAUGAUGAUUUGAACAUCAUCGGGACUACAAGGGACAUUGAGGAAGCAAUGGCUUACCUCAAGGCGGAGUUUGAGAUGAAAGACUUGGGCAAGACCAAGUUUUGUUUGGGCCUGCAGGUCGAACACCUUCCUGAAGGAGUGUUUGUACACCAGUCCACUUAUACUAAGAGGGUACUUGAAAAGUUCAAUAUGAGCAAGUGCCAUCCUCUUAAGACCCCCAUGGUAGUCCGAUCCCUAGAAGUGGAUUAGGACCCAUUCAGACCGAAGGGUGAUGAUGAGAAAGUAUUGGGACCCGAAGUUCCAUACUUGAGCGCCAUUGGAGCACUGAUGUACCUUACAAACUGCACGAGACUUGACAUUGCGUUCGCAGCAAAUUUGUUGGCAAGGUACAGUGCUGCCCCACCCAGGAGGCAUUGGGCUAGCGUCAAAACCAUCUUGAGGUACCUACAAGGUACACAAGACCUUGGUCUAUGGUUCUCAAAGAACCAAGCUCCAACCAUGGUGGGAUAUGUGGAUACUGGCUAUAUGUCUGACCCGCAUAAAGCCAGAUCACAGACUGGUUUUGUCUUUCUCUGUGGUGGUGCAACCAUUUCCUAGCGGUCUGUGAAACAGGCCCUGGUUGCCACAUCGACCAACCACUCAGAGAGAAUUGCUCUGUAUGAGGCUGCACGAGAAUGUGCUUGGUUGCGAUGAAUGAUCAAUCACCUCCCGAAGUCAUGUGGUUUGAACGUCGCCGACACCCCCACCAUUAUCUAUGAAGAUAAUGUGGCUUGUGUUGCACAGAUGCGCAUGGAUUAUGUCAGGAGCAAUCUCACGAAGCAUUUUUGCUCUAAGAUUCUUUUAUCCCCCAUGAGCUCCAAAAGAGCGGGGAGAUAAAUAUCCUGCAAGCAAGUGUUGAUAUUUGGGAACGCAAUAAGGAAUUGAUCCGCAAGCGCACGGAUAUCGGUGAGCACUUCACUCGGGAAAUUUUCCAGAGUAUCGUAUUUAUUUUUUUACCACUAGGAGAAAGAGUGCAUCUGACUAACCGGUCUAUUACUACUAACCUUUAGGCACAAAGAAUGUCUUUCGAUGUGAGUGAUAAAUAGAGAAGACUGCAACCGUAGUUUCCUUCUAACCUUGGUAAGGAUGAUCUACUAUUCUAAUGGGGAGGCUAACGGAAUCUAGACAACACAAAGGAUGUUCGACCCGCACCUAUAAACCCUAUCCUUCCUGCUAACGAGAUGUGAUCUACAAAGGUAACUCGGAAUUGUCACGUUCCUCACUACUACCACGGUCCAGCUAGUCAGGGAAUAUCUAUGAGUACCCCAGCCUAAACACCACGUUUACGUCAGCAAUGAUUACUCUAAACUCUACGCGAAGAGAUUAAAGUAAACUCAUAAACCAUAAGAACAAUAAAACAAGAACUUACUAGAAUUUAGAAGUCGAAAUACUGAAGAAUCCUAGGAGCAAGCUUCGGGUUAGGAGAACUUGAUCCCGCAGGUACAAGCUUGGAGUAGACACCGACAGGCCGGGCUUCCUCCAAUCUACACCUCCACUCUAUCUCUCUCAAUCUAGUAGAAACUAGAAGAUCUAUUUCUACCUUACAUUGGUUGCUAAGCCUAAAAAGAAAUAUUAAUUGGAGAAGAGGUUUUCCUUCGAGGGCACCCCUCAGUCUCUAUGAUAAUUUCUUCAUGUCUUCUCCAGGGGCCAGGGGGGUCUCCUUAUAUAGUCCUCUCCUUCUAUGCGUUUUUGGGUCGAUAGGCGAGGUGGUACUAUGUUUUUCUUGAUCCAAUAGGUCGGUGGAAUAUCCCGAGCGAAGAGAGUCCUGAUUGGCAUCCAGAGGGGGGCGGGCGCCCAGGUCACCAGGGCGGGCGCCCUGGGCGUGGCCCCUUUCGGCCUCCGUCUUCUUUCCGUGGCUUCUGGAGUGUUCUAGAUGGUGGAAAAUCGCGCGGUGCGUUGAUAUCUCUAUGUAAUCCCGACAUGUGGGCCUUUCUUCCUUAUUUCCUGAUAACCUCCUGCAGAAACAGAUAAACAACAAAACUCGUGGAAUUCUGUCAGAUCAAACCCUAAUUCUAGGUGUUGGUUGCAUAUUGGUCCUUUCUCUUGUUUCUUUGAUAAUUAAAAUUGAUACUUAAGAACCGUCAACAAAUACCCCCAUACUUAGGCUUUUACUCGUCCUCGAGAAAAGGAUGGUUAAGAACAAUAUCUGGGGUAAAAAAUUUUAAAACAUUCUUUUUAUAAUUGCAGGGUGUUAAAAUUCCACUGUGUACCAUAGUCAGGGAUGUUUAUGGUCAAGAGUAAAGAUCCUUUCUUCUCAAUCCUGUCACUUGGAGUUUUUGUAUAUUUUUGAAAGAGAGUUAGCAUACCUUUUGAUCCUCAUAGGUUCUCUCAGAUCACUCAUUAUCUUUUAUAUAUAUAUAUAUAUAUAUCUCACUGAGUUUGUUUUAAUUUUGCAAAAAUUCUCAAGCAUACUUACUUUGUAUUUAUUGCCUGAUCAAAACGGGAUCCGAGGAGGGGAAUGUCAUACACUUAGAUCAAAGACUUUGGAAAUUAAAAUCUUUGUCAACUCUUGCUGGCAUAUUGCUUAUUAGAGGGACCAUGGGCUAUCAUUUUUUCCUCUUUUCUCUCUCUCUCUCUUUUUUUAAGUGGAUACCGAGGUACCCCUAAUUCUACUGCCGGACACUUGUCCAUUUUUCUGCGAGGUUGUCGAGCACUUGCUCCUUUUUAUUUCCUUGAAAUAUUUUUAUUUUUGCAUAGCCCAUGCCUCUAAUGCAAUAAUACUUCGGAAGAGUGAAUCUUUCUGAAGUAAAUGUCUUGAUCUUAGGAGCAUGAUAAAUCUCUCAACAAGGGUCUAACUCAUUUUGAACAAACUCAAUACAGAGUAGAUAGCUUUUGUAAUUAAUAUUCAAUAUUUUCAGUCUUAUCAGGCAUAAAACACUGAGGAUGGUAGCUAGAGUUUUGAAUAUUUUGAAAUAAAUUCUCCAAGCAACAAUGAUGUCAAGAAUAAGAAACUCAUACUCUACCAUCACAUAUUCCAUAAUGACUUAAGUAACACAGGGUUUUAAAAUGAUUUUCAAUAAUUGCAAGUUUUCAGAAAAUAUCACAGAUUGAGAUUAAUCAUGAUUAGAAAUAUUUUAAUCUUUUUAUUUUAUCAUGUUGGAAACAGUAAUCUGCAUAAUCCAGAUAGUUGUGUGCGUGUAAAGUAAAGUGUGCAGAGUGUGUACUUGAAUCGUGGAGUGGUGCAGUCGGAGUGUGUUUGGCAUGUCGAGGGAUCUCCCCCAUACUUGUUUUCUCCUUUCUUGUACAAAAAUAAAGUAGAGACAAACAAGACAUAAUAAUAAUAAUACUCUUUAUUAAUCUUGAGGCAUUUAUUACAAAAGACUGAUAGGAAACUGAUAGCAAACUAAUGAUAAUAGUAAACUGAUGAUAGUAGCAAACCUAAACCGAAUUUAAAGAUAAAUGACUAAGAUGCAUUGCCUCAAGGUCUAAUCUAGAUAACUUAGCGGCGCUCUAAUUCCUUAAUCUUCUUGUUGGCACUGGCAAGAUCCUGCCUAAGGCCUAGUAUAAUGGUGUUGUGGUUAGAGAGCUGUCUAGUGAGGGAAUUAAUCGAGGACUGGAGAUCUAUGAUAACUCUGUCUAGUCUGCGAAUGUCCUCAUCAAUGUCUACUAUAGUCUUGCGACGCUUGGGAGGUGUCUCAAAAGCAUUCAGAGCGUGCUUCGGGGCUGCCUUUGGAGGGAUGAAUCGGACUUUGGCUGCUCGAAUCCCUUCAAAGUAAGGCCUUUCCUCCUCCGUAGUGUAGCAAAUACUGCUGAUCUCGCCGCUCCGGUUGGUCUUGACUCCUACGACCCUCUCAUUGGGUCUAGGUGGAAGGAUCCUCGUGCCGGUUGGCACCUUGAUGGUGGUCUUCGUCUUGGAUGAUGAUCCUUUGAGGAGUAGGGGUUGUGGCGGUGCGGUGAGAACUGGUUGAGCAUGGUAAGAUUGGGUGGAGCUGCGUUGGCGUAAUGGCAUGGCUUCUAGCUGUCGCUCUGUGUUGGCCGGGACGAGAGCACGGACAUCGGGGUCUUCUACAGUCUCCAUGUUGAGGUUGAAGGGGACGACUUCCCAAUCAUCGUGGUACUUCUCGGCCAUUGGAGCAGCAAGGAACUAAUCAAGCUCUAAUUGAAGGAGAGAAGGCUUGGUGGCUUGGUGUUUGAAAACUGAGGUCAGGGGUCUGUUUAUAUAGGGGUCAAAAGGUGCCUCUAUGGGUUGUUCGGGUUUCUCCCGUCGACGUGCGUGCGAAACUUUCUAUCCGAGGGAUUAUUCGAAUUACCAUAAGUGCAUUUUCCAUAACAGAGAAAGUUGGGACCAAGGGGGAACAGGAGCUGGGCGCCCGCCCAGUUGAUCUGGGCGCCCGCCCUCUCUCUAGCCCCUCUGUGGGCCCACUUUUCCGAGUGUGUUUCUAGAUACGAAAUUAUUUAGAAAAAUAUAUAUAUGACCCAAAAAUCAUCAGACUAGAAAGGUCGGGCUCUAAUUCUCCAUGGGAAGGUAAAAAUGGACUAUGUCUAUUUCUUCAAAUUCUUCAUUGGGCUCUAAAAAUAAUUUAAGACGUUGACCAUUUACCUUGAAUAACGUACCUUCGCUAUUUUGAAGUGUGAUAGCUCCGUGGGAUGAUGAAUUAAUUACCUUGAAUGGUCCUUCCCAUUUGCUCCGGAGUUUUCCAUGCCCGAAAAGCUUCACCCUGGAAUUAAAAAGUAAUACCUUAUCUCCGGGUGUGAACUCCUUCUUCUUGAUUCUCUUGUCAUGCCACCUCUUGACUCUUUCUUUGUAGAUCUUUGAAUUGUGAUAUGCUUUCUCUCGCCAUUCUUCCAAUUCUGAUAGUUGCAUUCUUCUAUAAUCUCCAGCAACAUCUAGGUCCAUAUUCCAUCUCUUUAUGGCCCAGUGUGCUUUGAACUCUAGUUCAACAGGUAGAUGGCAAGUCUUCCCGUACACCAAUUGGUAUGGAGACAUUCCAAUUGGGGUCUUGUAUGCUGUCCGGUAUGCCCAUAGUGCAUCAGGUAACUUGUCUUUCCACGCCGUUCCCAUUUCAUUUACUGUAUUCUGAAGAAUAUUCUUGAUUUGUUUGUUGGAAGUCUCUGCUUGGCCACUUGUCUGAGGAUGAUAAGGGGUAGCGACGUUGUGACGGAUUCCAUGUCUUGAUAGAUAUUGCUUGAAGCGUUUGUCGAUGAAGUGUGCUCCUCCAUCACUUAUCACUACUCUGGGGACUCCAAAUCUUGGAAAUAUAAUUUCUUCGAACAUCCUCUUUGAACUGACAUUGUCGGCAUGUUUGCAAGGUAAUGCCUCUACCCAUUUGGAGACAUAGUCAACCGCCACCAAGAUGUACUCGCACUUCUUUGAUGGAGGAAAUGGACCCAUGUAGUCUAUUCCCCAGACAUCAAAGAGCUCAAUCUGAAGGUUGUUGGUGAGUGGCAUUGCAUCCCUUGUAUUUAUGUUUCCGUGCCUUUGACAUGGCCCACAUCUUCUGAUAUAUUGCUUCGUGUCUUCAUACAUUGUAGGCCAGUAGAAUCCACACUGUCAGAUUUUUGAAUGUGUACGGAAUGCUCCAUAGUGACCUCCAUAUGGUGAUGAAUGACAUCUGUCGAUGAUCUUCCAUCCUUCCUCAGUGGUCACACAUCUCCUAAGUAAGCCAUCAGAACAUACCCGGAAGAGGUAUGGCUCAUCCCAUAUAUGUGAACGACUUUCUUGAAUAAGCUUCUUCUUGUUUGCUCCUGGUGGUACAUACCUUGAAACCAUAAAAUUAACAAUAUCUGCAUACCAGGGGUUAGACCUGUUAAUCCCGUAGAGCAUGUCGUCCCGGAGUGAAUCAUUGAUGGGGGUUUCCUAUGGACUCUUAAAAUACAUUCUAGACAAGUGAUCAGCAACAGAAUUUUCUACUCCCUUUUUAUCUUUUAUUUCUAAGUCAAAUUCUUGGAGUAAUAAGAUCCAUCUAAUCAGGCGAGGUUUAGCAUCUUUUUUAGUGAGCAAAUAUUUUAAUGCAGCAUGAUCAGUGUAAACAAUUAUUUUAGCUCCAACUAAAUAAGAUCUAAAUUUAUCAAUGGCAAAGACAACAGCUAGAAGCUCUUUUUCAGUGGUUGCAUAAUUAAGUUGAGCUCCUGUCAAAGUUUUACUGGCAUAAGCAAUUGCAUGAUGCUUCUUAUUUUUAGUUUAUCCCAAAACUGCCCCCACAGCAUAAUCACUAGCAUCACACAUAAUUUCAAAAGGCAACGACCAAUCAGGGGGUUGAAUGAUUGGUGCAGAGAUGAGUGCUUUCUUUAAUAAAUUGAAAGAUGUUAAACAUGCAUCAUCAAAUUCGAAAGGAGUAUCCUUGGCUAGCAAAAGAGUAAGUGGUCUAGCAAUCUUUUAUGAAUCUACGAUAAAAACCAGCAUGGCCAAGAAAGCUUCGAAUUCCUUUUAUGUUCACAGGUGGAGGUAGUUGUUCAAUUACUUCAAUUUUAGCUUUGUCUACCUCAAUACCUCUUUCAGACACUAGGUGUCCCAGCACUAUUCCUUCCCUAACCAUAAAAUAACAUUUUUCCCAAUUAAGGAUUAAGUGCUUUUCUUCACAUCUUUGCAAAACCUUGUCUAAGUUUUCAAGACAACUAUCAAAAGUUUUUCCAUAAACAGAGAAAUCAUCCAUGAAAACUUCCAUAAUCUCUUCAAUCAUAUCAGAAAAUAUAGACAUCAUGCAUCUUUGAAAAGAAGCUGGUGCAUUACAUAACCCAAAAGACAUUCUACGGUAAGCAUAAGUUCCAUAUGGGCAUGUAAAAGUGGUUUUGCUUUGAUCAUCGGGAUGGAUCGGGAUCUGAUGAUACCCUGAAUAUCCAUCUAAGAAACAAAAGAACGAAUCGUUUGCUAAUCGCUCUAGCAUCUCAUCUAUAAAAGGUAAAGGAAAGUGAUCCUUUCUCGUCGCUUUGUUUAGUUUUCUAUAGUCUAUGCACAUCCGCCAUCUUGUGACGGUGCGUUGUGGAAUUAGCUCGUUCUUUUCAUUCAUAAUAACAGACAUGCCUCCCUUUUUAGGCACAACUUGCACUGGGCUUACCCACUCACUGUGUGGCACAGGAUAUAUAAUCCCAGCAUGCAGCAACUUUAUAACUUCCUUUUUAACUACCUCUCUCAUAGUGUUAUUAAGUCUACGUUGGGGUUCUCGAGAGGGUGAAACAGAAGGAUCUAUUGGAAUACGAUGGGUACAAAUCAUAGGACUGAUUCCUGUAAGAUCUUGGAGUGAGUAGCCGAAAACUGAGUGAUGUUUUUCAAGAAUGGUCAUUAAUCGCAGAGUUUGAUCCUGAGUGAGUUUAUCGCUAAUGAUCACAGGGAACUCUAGAUUAUUGUUUAGGAAAGCAUAUGUAAGACCGGGUGGUAAAGUUUUAAGCUCUAUGGGGGGUCUAGGUGUUUCUGCAAACUCAUCUAAGGGUUCAGGCUCAGAAGGUUCGUCUUCUUCUUCUGUGAAGAAAGGAAUUUCGUCUUCUAAGUCUGGUUCAUCAAAAAGCUCUAGAGAUGCAGCCUUUACUUCCUCCAUAGGAUCAGGCAAAAGAUAUGACUCGGCCUUAUUGUUUAAGGAGUGUGAAAUUCUUAUUGGGAAUUUAAAGGUUUUUCCAAAAGAAAUGUGUAGCUUUCCAGUAUGACCUUCAUAAAGGAGUCUUCUAAAAGGUUGUCCUAUUAACAGGUCAAAGUCCCAUGUAUCAAAGAUAUAGAAGUUCAAAUGAACCAUGGACCUUCUACCGUAAGAGGUAGGACAUUAAUAAUUCCAAUACUGGGGACUAAUCGUCCCGAAGAUUCCUUUACGACCUUUGUUGUGGGGGUUAAGACAAGAUUUUUAAAUAGUUUAAGUGCAAAAGAUUCAGACAUGAUGUUGAUCCCCACAACAGGAUUAUAGAGAGCAUUAAAUCGAUCAGAAUUAUAAGCACAGCGUAUAGUUAUAGAGGGUGUGUCCAACCGGAUCACAUCAGAGGAAAGCUCUGAUUCCUCCAACCAUUCGCUACUCAUUACUGAGAUAAGCUCUCUCAAUUGAUAUUCACUUGGUAAAUAAAUGCUAAACUGGCCGUUUUGGGGUUUGUCAAUAGAAUGGUAGUUUGAAAUAUUUCCAAAAUCGGCAAAAAGAUCGGAUUCUAUAUCCAGCAUGAAAUCCGGUGGUGGAAUUUCUUCCUCUUGUGGCUCAGAACUUGGGAUAGCUAAAGUAGAUGAAGAAUUUGGCAAAGUGUCUACUUCGGCUUCUAGGAUUUCAUCAUGAAGGGUAUUAUCCAUCUCAGCUUCUAGGAUUAUAUCUAGGAUCACUCUAGCUUUAUCGGCAGGGAUGCGAAAGAAAGAACCUCUAGACAUUGUGUGUAGCAUUUGCUUGUGAUUUUUAUGAAGACCUCGAAAAAAGUGAAAUAAAAGAACAGGGUCUUCAAGAUUAAGGUUUGGACCAGAUUCUAAAAAAUGUUUCCAGGAUUUUCCCAAAGUUUCAUUAUCUUUUUGUUUAAAAGAUAGGACUUCGAGUCUAAGGUCGGCUAUACGGUCAAGGGAAUAGAAAUCUAGACAAAAGUUAGCUCGUAAAACUCCCCAUUCACCUUGUUGUUGACUUACCUUCUGACUGUACCAUUGUCUAGCUUUUCCCUUUAAGGAAAAAGAAAAAAGCUUCCAACGUAAAGUUUUAUCAGAAAUGCCCUCAAUGCGAAGACAAUCACAUGUUUGCUCAAAAUCUCUAAUAUGAAGGUAAGGGUUUUCGUCUUCCUUUCCCGAAAAAGAUAGGUUUUGAAUCAUGGCAAUCAACCUAGAACUUAACUUAUACUGGGAUGUUUGGAUAGGUUGUGAUGAUUCCCAUAGUAAAAGGUCAGUCGCUAAGGGGAUUGCAGAUUCAUGGAUCGAUUUAGAAUUUUGGUUUUCCAUAAGGUAAGAGUAAAGAAAAUAAAUAAAGAAUAUAAAAGAUAAGAAAAGAUAAAAGUAUAGAUACAAGCUAAUAGUAAGACUCAGGUUAUCUCAGCAACCGUCUUUCUCCCCGGCAACGGCGCCAGAAAUGCUUGUUGAUAUUUGGGAACGCAAUAAGGAAUUGAUCCGCAAGCGCACGGAUAUCGGUGAGCACUUCACCCGGGAAAUUAUCCAGAGUAUCGUAUUUAUUUUUUUACCACUAGGAGAAAGAGUGCAUCUGACUAACCGGUCUAUUACUACUAACCUUUAGGCACAAAGAAUGUCUUUCGAUGUGAGUGAUAAAUAGAGAAGACUGCAACCGUAGUUUCCUUCUAACCUUGGUAAGGAUGAUCUACUGUUCUAAUGGGGAGGCUAACGGAAUCUAGGCAACACAAAGGAUGUUCGACCCGCACCUAUAAACCCUAUCCUUCCUGCUAACGAGAUGUGAUCUACAAAGGUAACUCGGAAUUGUCACGUUCCUCACUACUACCACGGUCCAGCUAGUCAGGGAAUAUCUAUGAGUACCCCAGCCUAAACACCACGUUUACGUCAGCAAUGAUUACUCUAAACUCUACGCGAAGAGAUUAAAGUAAACUCAUAAACCAUAAGAACAAUAAAACAAGAACUUACUAGAAUUUAGAAGUCGAAAUACUGAAGAAUCCUAGGAGCAAGCUUCGGGUUAGGAGAACUUGAUCCCGCAGGUACAAGCUUGGAGUAGACACCGACAGGCCGGGCUUCCUCCAAUCUACACCUCCACUCUAUCUCUCUCAAUCUAGUAGAAACUAGAAGAUCUAUUUCUACCUUACAUUAGUUUCUAAGCCUAAAAAGAAAUAUUAAUUAGAGAAGAGGUUUUCCUUCGAGGGCACCCCUCAGUCUCUAUGAUAAUUUCUUCAUGUCUUCUCCAGGGGCCAGGGGGGUCUCCUUAUAUAGUCCUCUCCUUCUAUGCGUUUUUGGGUCGAUAGGCGAGGUGGUACUAUGUUUUUCUUGAUCCAAUAGGUCGGUGGAAUAUCCCGAGCGAAGAGAGUCCUGAUUGGCAUCCAGAGGGGGGCGGGCGCCCAGGUCACCAGGGCGGUCGCCCUGGGCGUGGCCCCUUUCGGCCUCCGUCUUCUUCCCGUGGCUUCUGGAGUGUUCUAGAUGGUGGAAAAUCGCGCGGUGCGUUGAUAUCUCUAUGUAAUCCCGACAUGUGGGCCUUUCUUCCUUAUUUCCUGAUAACCUCCUGCAGAAACAGAUAAACAACAAAACUCGUGGAAUUCUGUCAGAUCAAACCCUAAUUCUAGGUGUUGGUUGCAUAUUGGUCCUUUCUCUUGUUUCUUUGAUAAUUAAAAUUGAUACUUAAGAACCGUCAACAUAUACCCCCAUACUUAGGCUUUUACUCGUCCUCGAGAAAAGGAUGGUUAAGAACAAUAUCUGGGGUAAAACAUUUUAAAACAUUCUUUUUAUAAUUGCAGGGUGUUAAAAUUCCACUGUGUACCAUAGUCAGGGAUGUUUAUGGUCAAGAGUAAAGAUCCUUUCUUCUCAAUCCUGUCACUUGGAGUUUUUGUAUAUUUUUGAAAGAGGGUUAGCAUACCUUUUGAUCCUCAUAGGUUCUCUCAGAUCACUCAUUAUCUUUUAUAUAUAUAUAUCUCACUGAGUUUGUUUUAAUUUUGCAAAAAUUCUCAAGCAUACUUACUUUGUAUUUAUUGCCUGAUCAAAACGGGAUCCGAGGAGGGGAAUGUCAUACACUUAGAUCAAAGACUUUGGAAAUUAAAAUCUUUGUCAACUCUUGCUGGCAUAUUGCUUAUUAGAGGGACCAUGGGCUAUCAUUUUUUCCUCUUUUCUCUCUCUCUCUCUUUUUUUAAGUGGAUACCGAGGUACCCCUAAUUCUACUGCCGGACACUUGUCCAUUUUUCUGCGAGGUUGUCGAGCACUUGCUCCUUUUUAUUUCCUUGAAAUAUUUUUAUUUUUGCAUAGCCCAUGCCUCUAAUGCAAUAAUACUUCGGAAGAGUGAAUCUUUCUGAAGUAAAUGUCUUGAUCUUAGGAGCAUGAUAAAUCUCUCAACAAGGGUCUAACUCAUUUUGAACAAACUCAAUACAGAGUAGAUAGCUUUUAUAAUUAAUAUUCAAUAUUUUCAGUCUUAUCAGGCAUAAAACACUGAGGAUGGUAGCUAGAGUUUUGAAUAUUUUGAAAUAAAUUCUCCAAGCAACAAUGAUGUCAAGAAUAAGAAACUCAUACUCUACCAUCACAUAUUCCAUAAUGACUUAAGUAACACAGGGUUUUAAAAUGAUUUUCAAUAAUUGCAAGUUUUCAGAAAAUAUCACAGAUUGAGAUUAAUCAUGAUUAGAAAUAUUUUAAUCUUUUUAUUUUAUCAUGUUGGAAACAGUAAUCUGCAUAAUCCAGAUAGUUGUGUGCGUGUAAAGUAAAGUGUGCAGAGUGUGUACUUGAAUCGUGGAGUGGUGCAGUCGGAGUGUGUUUGGCAUGUCGAGGGAUCUCCCCCAUACUUGUUUUCUCCUUUCUUGUACAAAAAUAAAGUAGAGACAAACAAGACAUAAUAAUAAUAAUACUCUUUAUUAAUCUUGAGGCAUUUAUUACAAAAGACUGAUAGGAAACUGAUAGCAAACUAAUGAUAAUAGUAAACUGAUGAUAGUAGCAAACCUAAACCGAAUUUAAAGAUAAAUGACUAAGAUGUAUUGCCUCAAGGUCUAAUCUAGAUAACUUAGCGGCGCUCUAAUUCCUUAAUCUUCUUGUUGGCACUGGCAAGAUCCUGCCUAAGGCCUAGUAUAAUGGUGUUGUGGUUAGAGAGCUGUCUAGUGAGGGAAUUAAUCGAGGACUGGAGAUCUAUGAUAACUCUGUCUAGUCUGCGAAUGUCCUCAUCAAUGUCUACUAUAGUCUUGCGACGCUUGGGAGGUGUCUCAAAAGCAUUCAGAGCGUGCUUCGGGGCUGCCUUUGGAGGGAUGAAUCGGACUUUGGCUGCUCGAAUCCCUUCAAAGUAAGGCCUUUCCUCCUCCGUAGUGUAGCGAAUACUGCUGAUCUCGCCGCUCCGGUUGGUCUUGACUCCUACGACCCUCUCAUUGGGUCUAGGUGGAAGGAUCCUCGUGCCGGUUGGCACCUUGAUGGUGGUCUUCGUCUUGGAUGAUGAUCCUUUGAGGAGUAGGGGUUGUGGCGGUGCGGUGAGAACUGGUUGAGCAUGGUAAGAUUGGGUGGAGCUGCGUUGGCGUAAUGGCAUGGCUUCUAGCUGUCGCUCUGUGUUGGCCGGGACGAGAGCACGGACAUCGGGGUCUUCUACAGUCUCCAUGUUGAGGUUGAAGGGGACGACUUCCCAAUCAUCGUGGUACUUCUCGGCCAUUGGAGCAGCAAGGAACUAAUCAAGCUCUAAUUGAAGGAGAGAAGGCUUGGUGGCUUGGUGUUUGAAAACUGAGGUCAGGGGUCUAUUUAUAUAGGGGUCAAAAGGUGCCUCUAUGGGUUGUUCGGGUUUCUCCCGUCGACGUGCGUGCGAAACUUUCUAUCCGAGGGAUUAUUCGAAUUACCAUAAGUGCAUUUUCCAUAACAGAGAAAGUCGGGACCGAGGGGGAACAGGAGCUGGGCGCCCGCCCAGUUGAUCUGGGCGCCCGCCCUCUCUCUAGCCCCUCUGUGGGCCCACUUUUCCGAGUGUGUUUCUAGAUAGGAAAUUAUUUAGAAAAAUAUAUAUAUGACCCAAAAAUCAUCAGACUAGAAAGGUCGGGCUCUAAUUCUCCAUGGGAAGGUAAAAAUGGACUAUGUCUAUUUCUUCAAAUUCUUCAUUGGGCUCUAAAAAUAAUUUAAGACGUUGACCAUUUACCUUGAAUAACGUACCUUCGCUAUUUUGAAGUGUGAUAGCUCCGUGGGAUGAUGAAUUAAUUACCUUGAAUGGUCCUUCCCAUUUGCUCCGGAGUUUUCCAUGCCCGAAAAGCUUCACCCUGGAAUUAAAAAGUAAUACCUUAUCUCCGGGUGUGAACUCCUUCUUCUUGAUUCUCUUGUCAUGCCACCUCUUGACUCUUUCUUUGUAGAUCUUUGAAUUGUGAUAUGCUUUCUCUCGCCAUUCUUCCAAUUCUGAUAGUUGCAUUCUUCUAUAAUCUCCAGCAACAUCUAGGUCCAUAUUCCAUCUCUUUAUGGCCCAGUGUGCUUUGAACUCUAGUUCAACAGGUAGAUGGCAAGUCUUCCCGUACACCAAUUGGUAUGGAGACAUUCCAAUUGGGGUCUUGUAUGCUGUCCGGUAUGCCCAUAGUGCAUCAGGUAACUUGUCUUUCCACGCCGUUCCCAUUUCAUUUACUGUAUUCUGAAGAAUAUUCUUGAUUUGUUUGUUGGAAGUCUCUGCUUGGCCACUUGUCUGAGGAUGAUAAGGGGUAGCGACGUUGUGACGGAUUCCAUGUCUUGAUAGAUAUUGCUUGAAGCGUUUGUCGAUGAAGUGUGCUCCUCCAUCACUUAUCACUACUCUGGGGACUCCAAAUCUUGGAAAUAUAAUUUCUUCGAACAUCCUCUUUGAACUGACAUUGUCGGCAUGUUUGCAAGGUAAUGCCUCUACCCAUUUGGAGACAUAGUCAACCGCCACCAAGAUGUACUCGCACUUCUUUGAUGGAGGAAAUGGACCCAUGUAGUCUAUUCCCCAGACAUCAAAGAGCUCAAUCUGAAGGUUGUUGGUGAGUGGCAUUGCAUCCCUUGUAUUUAUGUUUCCGUGCCUUUGACAUGGCCCACAUCUUCUGAUAUAUUGCUUCGUGUCUUCAUACAUUGUAGGCCAGUAGAAUCCACACUGUCAGAUUUUUGAAUGUGUACGGAAUGCUCCAUAGUGACCUCCAUAUGGUGAUGAAUGACAUCUGUCGAUGAUCUUCCAUCCUUCCUCAGUGGUCACACAUCUCCUAAGUAAGCCAUCAGAACAUACCCGGAAGAGGUAUGGCUCAUCCCAUAUAUGUGAACGACUUUCUUGAAUAAGCUUCUUCUUGUUUGCUCCUGGUGGUACAUACCCUGAAACCAUAAAAUUAACAAUAUCUGCAUACCAGGGGUUAGACCUGUUAAUCCCGUAGAGCAUGUCGUCCCGGAGUGAAUCAUUGAUGGGGGUUUCCUGUGGACUCUUAAAAUACAUUCUAGACAAGUGAUCAGCAACAGAAUUUUCUACUCCCUUUUUAUCUUUUAUUUCUAAGUCAAAUUCUUGGAGUAAUAAGAUCCAUCUAAUCAGGCGAGGUUUAGCAUCUUUUUUAGUGAGCAAAUAUUUUAAUGCAGCAUGAUCAGUGUAAACAAUUAUUUUAGCUCCAACUAAAUAAGAUCUAAAUUUAUCAAUGGCAAAGACAACAGCCAGAAGCUCUUUUUCAGUGGUUGCAUAAUUAAGUUGAGCUCCUGUCAAAGUUUUACUGGCAUAAGCAAUUGCAUGAUGCUUCUUAUUUUUAGUUUGUCCCAAAACUGCCCCCACAGCAUAAUCACUAGCAUCACACAUAAUUUCAAAAGGCAACGACCAAUCAGGGGGUUGAAUGAUUGGUGCAGAGAUGAGUGCUUUCUUUAAUAAAUUGAAAGAUGUUAAACAUGCAUCAUCAAAUUCGAAAGGAGUAUCCUUGGCUAGCAAAAGAGUAAGUGGUCUAGCAAUCUUUUAUGAAUCUACGAUAAAAACCAGCAUGGCCAAGAAAGCUUCGAAUUCCUUUUAUGUUCACAGGUGGAGGUAGUUGUUCAAUUACUUCAAUUUUAGCUUUGUCUACCUCAAUACCUCUUUCAGACACUAGGUGUCCCAGCACUAUUCCUUCCCUAACCAUAAAAUGACAUUUUUCCCAAUUAAGGAUUAAGUGCUUUUCUUCACAUCUUUGCAAAACCUUGUCUAAGUUUUCAAGACAACUAUCAAAAGUUUUUCCAUAAACAGAGAAAUCAUCCAUGAAAACUUCCAUAAUCUCUUCCAUCAUAUCAGAAAAUAUAGACAUCAUGCAUCUUUGAAAAGAAGCUGGUGCAUUACAUAACCCAAAAGACAUUCUACGGUAAGCAUAACUUCCAUAUGGGCAUGUAAAAGUGGUUUUGCUUUGAUCAUCGGGAUGGAUCGGGAUCUGAUGAUACCCUGAAUAUCCAUCUAAGAAACAAAAGAACGAAUCGUUUGCUAAUCGCUCUAGCAUCUCAUCUAUAAAAGGUAAAGGAAAGUGAUCCUUUCUCGUCGCUUUGUUUAGUUUUCUAUAGUCUAUGCACAUCCGCCAUCUUGUGACGGUGCGUUGUGGAAUUAGCUCGUUCUUUUCAUUCAUAAUAACAGACAUGCCUCCCUUUUUAGGCACAACUUGCACUGGGCUUACCCACUCACUGUGUGGCACAGGAUAUAUAAUCCCAGCAUGCAGCAACUUUAUAACUUCCUUUUUAACUACCUCUCUCAUGGUGUUAUUAAGUCUACGUUGGGGUUCUCGAGAGGGUGAAACAGAAGGAUCUGUUGGAAUACGAUGGGUACAAAUCAUAGGACUGAUUCCUGUAAGAUCUUGGAGUGAGUAGCCAAAAACUGAGUGAUGUUUUUCAAGAAUGGUCAUUAAUCGCAGAGUUUGAUCCUGAGUGAGUUUAUCGCUAAUGAUCACAGGGCACUCUAGAUUAUUGUUUAGGAAAGCAUAUGUAAGACCGGGUGGUAAAGUUUUAAGCUCUAUGGGGGGUCUAGGUGUUUCUGCAAACUCAUCUAAGGGUUCAGGCUCAGAAGGUUCGUCUUCUUCUUCUGUGAAGAAAGGAAUUUCGUCUUCUAAGUCUGGUUCAUCAAAAAGCUCUAGAGAUGCAGCCUUUACUUCCUCCAUAGGAUCAGGCAAAAGAUAUGACUCGGCCUUAUUGUUUAAGGAGUGUGAAAUUAUUAUUGGGAAUUUAAAGGUUUUUCCAAAAGAAAUGUGUAGCUUUCCAGUAUGACCUUCAUAAAGGAGUCUUCUAAAAGGUUGUCCUAUUAACAGGUCAAAGUCCCAUGUAUCAAAGAUAUAGAAGUUCAAAUGAACCAUGGACCUUCUACCGUAAGAGGUAGGACAUUAAUAAUUCCAAUACUGGGGACUAAUCGUCCCGAAGAUUCCUUUACGACCUUUGUUGUGGGGGUUAAGACAAGAUUUUUAAAUAGUUUAAGUGCAAAAGAUUCAGACAUGAUGUUGAUCCCCACAACAGGAUUAUAGAGAGCAUUAAAUCGAUCAGAAUUAUAAGCACAGCGUAUAGUUAUAGAGGGUGUGUCCAACCGGAUCACAUCAGAGGAAAGCUCUGAUUCCUCCAACCAUUCGCUACUCAUUACUGAGAUAAGCUCUCUCAAUUGAUAUUCACUUGGUAAAUAAAUGCUAAACUGGCCGUUUUGGGGUUUGUCAAUAGGCCGGGCUUCCUCCAAUCUACACCUCCACUCUAUCUCUCUCAAUCUAGUAGAAACUAGAAGAUCUAUUUCUACCUUACAUUGGUUGCUAAGCCUAAAAAGAAAUAUUAAUUAGAGAAGAGGUUUUCCUUCGAGGGCACCCCUCAGUCUCUAUGAUAAUUUCUUCAUGUCUUCUCCAGGGGCCAGGGGGGUCUCCUUAUAUAGUCCUCCCCUUCUAUGCGUUUUUGGGUCGAUAGGCGAGGUGGUACUAUGUUUUUCUUGAUCCAAUAGGUCGGUGGAAUAUCCCGAGCGAAGAGAGUCCUGAUUGGCAUCCAAAGGGGGGCGGGCGCCCUGGGCCUGGCCCCUUUCGGCCUCCGUCUUCUUCCCGUGGCUUCUGGAGUGUUCUAGAUGGUGGAAAAUCGCGCGGUGCAUUGAUAUCUCUAUGUAAUCCCGACAUGUGGGCCUUUCUUCCUUAUUUCCUGAUAACCCCCUGUAGAAACAGAUAAACAACAAAACUUGUGGAAUUCUAUCAGAUCAAACCCUAAUUCUAGGUGUUGGUUGCAUAUUGGUCCUUUCUCUUGUUUCUUUGAUAAUUAAAAUUGAUACUUAAGAACCGUCAACAGCAAGGUCAUGCAAAAAACCUCGCAGAUCUUUUUCAUGAAAUCUCUACCCGCCUCUAGCUUCUAUAGGUGCGUCCAUGGAAUUGGUAUGAGGCAGCUUAGAGAGUUGCAGGGUUUAGGGGGAGACCAGCUGUCGAGGGUAUCAACAAAGGGUACCCUCACCAAGGCAUAUAACAAGGUUAUCCGUACGUAAGGGGAGGUCCUCGAUUCGACGCUCCAUCCGUACGUAUGCGCAGCCAUCGACGGCCACAUCCUCGAAGACGGAAAUAGCGUCGAGCGAAUCAAUCAGGUGUCGAGCUCUGGUUACCAUCGAAUACGGAACAGGCUCACGCGAACCGGAAGGCGUCGAGCGCAAGGACGCCGCCCGCCGCCUGACGCGCGCACGCGAGCCGUGAAAUUAAAUGCGCCUGAUGCUUCCCCACCUAACACACGGGUCACGGGAGGCGUGAUAGGGAACAUGCAUACGUCCCAUCGAUCUUUUUGCAGCCUUCCCCACCAAACGGCCCAGGGCGUGUCAGGACGUGGGAAACAGAGAUGGCACGUCUAAUCAAGGCCCCCUCGAGGUGUCCAGGGUCAGCGCUCCGACAUCAGGACGUCGUACGGCGUCCGACCCUCGACUAAACAUGGUUCCUUCCUGGGGACGGGUCGGACGUCGACUAGCCAUGCCGCAACCACUCCGCCGGAUUUGCCGCCGAACCGUACGAGCAUGCGACCGUGGAACCAGUACAAGACGGCGCGCAGCGCUGAAUGCAGGGGCACGCGUAAUCAUCACCAGGCUAUUAAGACGGGACGGCUCGAGGCUAUGCCGGUACGGAAGCCUCGAGUAGGUCAGCGCUCCAUACUGCUAUCGACUCCUAUUCUGACGCCUAUACAUGUACCCUGGGUCUCUCCUUGGAACUAUAAAAGGAGGGACUCAGGAAUAGAACACAAGACAGAACUCCACGCUCAUACGCAGUAGAACUUCACACUUCAUACCACGCUUGUAUUCACCCCUGUACAAGCACUUAGGUGCAAGAUAAUACAAACUCUCUCUCCCCCCGCUGGACGUAGGGCCUUCUCUUGCCCGAACCAGGCUAAAUCUCUGUGUCUUCUUGCAUCACCAUCUGGGAAAGGGAGCACGCAUACAAAUUCACUCGUUGGUGUGACCCCCCGUGGGGAAAACACCGACAGUUGGCGCGCCAGGUAGGGGUCCUGCGUGUUUUUUUCAUCAAUUUCCCACUCCUUUCCAGAUGGCUACUCUCGCCUCGCCGAUUCCGCGCUCCACGGUGAUUUGGUUUGGGAGUCUCGAGUUCAUGUCUACGGGCUCCGGCUACGACAUGAUCUUGCUCUCAGUCAGAGGACCAGGAGGAGCCCGCGUUGCGCCAGCACGGUUGAGGGCCCCGAGACGCCCUCACCACCACGCCUCCCCGCCUAAGAAGAGGCGCGGACAGCACCACCGCGGCCCCUCUGCUUCAUCACGACCAACAACUCGUGUGAAGCAGGAAGCGGGCCACAAGUCGGUAGCACCAUGUGUCGAAGCAGCGAGCGCGACGGCUCAGUACCGCGCGACAACGAGAGGGGACGCAUCCCACGCACUCUCCCCCACCGCUGCUAGGCUGCUUCCACACAGGUUGUUCACUCCAAGAAGGGCACUACCAUUCGGAUUGGACAACGCCGCGGCGUCGCUCGCCAGGGAGAUAUGCCCGAACGCCCAGACGUACGUGGAAAGACCAAUGGUCCUCCCACAUGACACUGAAGCGCAGCGGCCGGCGUCCGAGCUUCCGGAUCUUUCCCGGGUACGAGGCCUCCGUCGUCUAGGCCCCGGACGAUACACGAUCACCUCACUCAGGCAGCGACUGCUGGAGGAGGGACGUGGAUGUUUCUACGCCACCAAACCGGAUUCCGACUCCGAAACCGAUAGCUACGACCCUACAAGGGAAUGCUAUCACAUCGACGGGGCGGUAGAAACUACCGACGAGACGCGAGAUGCCGCUGCGGGCGGUCUGGCCCCCGCGGCACGAGAAGACCCCAGGACGCCUGGGAAUGACGGGCAGGUCGACCCCCCUCCACAAGAAGACAAGGCUGCACAGCUAGCGCAGCUGCGAGAGCUCAAGAUGAAGCUUGACGAAGACCGAGAGCGCCUCGUCCUGCUUGAGCAAAUCCUUGAGCAAGACUUGCCAUAUCCGCCGGGCGGAAGUGUUCGCAGGCGUGCUCGAGAGGUGCAUCGACAAAUCGUCGGAGACGCAGAGCCAGAGCAGCCCGUCAGCCGCUUCCCUCGAGUAGGCCAAAACGUAGUGGCGGCGACGAUGCUGCAGCGCAACAUGCCAGAGCCAUCGAACUCCCAGGCUCGACGCAUCCGAGACGAGGUACAGACCCUGCUCCAGGUGGCGACAGUUCAACAAGCCGAAAGCUCGGCUUCUCGACGACGAGGGGCUGCCACUGAAAAGCGCGACGAGCAGCCUCAAAAUGAAAAGGAGGUGUCCGUCCAUCAAUAGCCUCCACCUCGAGGCAGAAAGACCACUCUCGUUGUCCCCGUCGACAAUCAGCGUCGACACGACGCGCGGCAUGACAUCGAAGAGAAUCGACGCCGCCGGCACGGAGACGCAGAAGAACGCGGUUACAGCGCUCAUCGCGGUGGGAGGUACGACAGCGACGAAGAUCGGGUGGCCCCCGAGCCACCGGGCCCACGAGUGUUCAGUAGGGCGAUCCGCAGCACGCCCCUGCCCAGUCCGUUCCGACCCCCGACCAGCAUCGCGAAAUACAACGGCGAAACCAAACCAGAAUUGUGGUUAGCUGAUUUUAGGUUGGCCUGUCAGUUGGGGGGAGCUCGAGGGGAUGACCGAGCCAUCAUCCGGCAGCUACCGCUAUUCCUCUCCGACACCGCCCGUCGAUGGCUCGAGGAACUUCCCGCUGAUCAGAUCCACAACUGGGUUGAUCUGGUCAGGGUUUUCGAGGGUAAUUUCAAAGGGACCUACAUACGGCCUGGGAACUCGUGGGACCUCAGCAAGUGCAAACAGAAGUCAGGAGAAACUCUUCGGGAGUAUGCUCGACGCUUCUCGAAGCAGCGCACUGAGCUACCGCACAUCCCCGACCAUGACGUCAUCCUGGCUUUCGUCUCUGGUACCACCAGUCGAGACUUAGUGUGGGAACUGGGCCGAAAUCGCCCCCAGACUGUCGAUGAGUUGAUGGACGUAGUGGCGAACUACGCGGCAGGGGAGGAGGCAGUCGGCGCCUUCUUCAGCUGUGAAGGGGGGAAAGGCAAGCGGCCUGCCGAUGAAGAUGGAACCCCCGGUUGGGGCCUCAAGAAGAAUAAAAAGAAGCAGAAAGCACGGCAGUUCCCGCAGGAGGAUUCCGACGACAACCUUGUCGCCGCCAUGGAACGAAAGAAGCCUCGAGGCCCUCCGGAGGGAGGCGUCUUCGACAAGAUGCUAGAAGAGCCGUGCCCUUACCAUAAGGGAGGCGCCAACCACAAGCUCAAGGACUGUCGUAUGCUGAAAAAGCAUUUCGACGGUCUGGGGUUCAAGAAAGAUGCGCGUGACGACUCCAAGAAAGAGAAGGGCAGCGGCAAGGAGGACAACAAAGACGACGACGGCUUCCCCGCCGUCCACGACUGCUACAUGAUCUACGGCGGGCCCUCGACUCAGUUAACCACGAGGCAGCGCAAAAGGGAGCGUCGCGAGGUCUUCGCGGCAAGAAUGGCGAUGCCCCAGUACCUCAGCUGGUCAAGCACUCCCAUCACUUUCGAUCGAGAGGACCACCCCGACAAGGUAGUCGCCCCAGGUGUCUACCCGCUCGUCGUCGACCCGAUCAUCGUCAACACACGGCUCUCAAAAGUGCUGACGGAUGGUGGCAGCAGCCUCAAUAUCAUCUACCUCGAGACCCUCGACCUCCUCGGCAUAGAUAGAGGGAAGCUCCAACCAAGCGCCGGCGGUUUUCAUGGCGUCGUGCUAGGGAAAAAGGCGCUGCCAGUAGGUCGAAUCGACUUACCGGUCUGCUUUGGCACAGCGGCCAACUUCAGGAAGGAGACCCUCACCUUUGAAGUGGUUGGAUUCCGAGGCACGUACCACGCCAUCAUCGGACGCUCGGGCUACGCCAAGUUCAUGGCUAUACCCAACUACACCUACUUGAAGCUGAAGAUGCCCGGUCCCAAAGGCGUCAUCACCGUCAGCUCCUCCUUCGAGCACGCAUACGAGUGCGACGUCGAGUGCGUCGAGUAUGGGGAGGCGGUCGAAAACUCCACCGAGCUCGUCGCGAAGCUCGAAGCCCUGGCCGCUGAGGCUCCAGAGCCCUAGCGUCACGCGGGCAGCUUCGAGGUGGCAGAAGGAACCAAGAAGAUCCCACUCGACCCCAACAACUCCGACGGCAAGGUGCUGACGAUCAGCGCCGAUCUCGACCCCAAAUAGGAAGCUGUGCUCGUCGACUUUCUCUGUGCAAACGCCGACAUGUUUGCAUGGAGUCCCUCGGACAUGCCAGGCAUACCGAGGGAAGUCGCCGAGCACUCCUUGGAGAUUCGAGCCGGUUCCAAGCCAGUGAAGCAGCGGUUGCACCGAUUCGACGAGGAGAAGCGCAAGAUCAUUGGCGAGGAAGUCCACAAGCUUUUGACGGCUGGAUUCAUCAAGGAGGUUCAUCAUCCCGACUGGUUAGCAAACCCUGUAUUAGUUAAGAAAAAGAAUGGGAAAAUGAGGAUGUGUGUCGAUUAUACUAGUCUGAAUAAAGCAUGUCCAAAAGUUCCUUUUCCAUUGCCACGUAUUGAUCAGAUUGUCGAUUCUACCGCGGGAUGUGAAACCCUUUCUUUCCUUGAUGCGUAUUCUGGUUACCACCAAAUAAAAAUGAAGGAGUCCGACUAGCUCGCGACCUCUUUCAUCACGCCUUUUGGGAUGUAUUGCUAUGUGACCAUGCCAUUUGGGCUUCGAAACGCGGGAGCUACAUACCAACGUUGCAUGCUCCACGUUUUUGGUGAACACAUAGGGCCGACAGUCGAGGCCUAUGUCGACGACAUUGUCGUCAAGUCAAAGCAGUGAGGGGACCUGAUCCAGGACCUCGAGAUCGCUUUUAGCUGUUUACGCGCCAACCAGAUCAAGCUCAACCCCGAGAAGUGCGUUUUCGGCGUGCCUCGAGGCAUGCUCCUGGGCUACAUUGUUUCGCAGCGUGGCAUCGAGGCCAACCCCGAGAAAGUCUCGGCCAUCACGAGAAUGGGGCCGAUCCGGGACAUCAAGGGUGUACAGAGAGUCACGGGAUGCCUGGCGGCUCUAAGCCGUUUCGUCUCGAGACUAGGAGAAAAGGCGUUACCAUUGUAUCGACUUCUGAAGAAGGUCGAGCAUUUUUCUUGGACCCCCGAGGCCGAGGAAGCGCUUGAAAAGCUGAAGAAGACGCUGACCUCAGCACCAGUCUUGGUCCCACCUCGACCUGCAGAACCGCUGCUCCUCUACGUUGCGUCGACGACCCAGGUCGUCAGCGCAGCGGUGGUGGUCGAAAGGCAGGAGGAGGGACAUGCGCUACCAGUCCAGAGGCCAGUCUAUUUCGUCAGCGAGGUGCUUUCGGAGACCAAAGCACGUUAUCCCCAAAUCCAGUAGCUGAUCUAUGUCGUAAUCCUUGCCCGCCGAAAGCUGCAACACUACUUUCUUGGCCACCCCAUCACGGUGGUCUCGUCUUUCCCCUUAGGCGAAAUAAUCUAGAGCAAAGAGGCCACGGGAAGAAUAGCAAAAUGGUCGGUCGAGCUCAUGAGUGAGACUCUCGCUUACGCGCCUCGCAAAGCCAUCAAAUCGCAGGCCCUGGAAGACUUCGUCGCGGAAUGGACAGACUCCCAGCUUCCCCCGACUCAGGUCCAAGCGGAACUGUGGACGAUGUAUUUCGAUGGGUCACUCAUGAAAACAGGGGCCGGGGCCGGCCUGCUGUUCAUCUCACCCUUGGGCGUUCACAUGAGGUAUAUAAUCAGGAUUCAUUUUGCCGUGUCUAACAAUGUCGCAGAAUACGAGGCCCUCGUCAAUGGUCUCAAGAUUGCCAUCGAGUUAGGAGUCCGACGCCUCGACGUCCGAGGUGACUCCCAACUCGUCAUCGACCAAGUAAUGAAAACCUCGAGCUGCCACGACCCGAAAAUGGAGGCAUACUGCAAGGAAGUCCGUCGACUCGAGGACAAAUUCCAUGGUCUCGAGCUUGUCCAUGUCGCCCGACGCUACAACGAGGCAGCCGACGAACUCGCCAAGAUCGCAUCAACUCGAGGCACGGUGCCGCCUGACGCGUUCUCAAGAGAUCUCCACGAGCCAUCCGUCGACUUAGGCUCGGGGGCUGGCAUCGACGCUGCUCCCGCUCAGGCAACCAACACCGUCGACACACUCUUGAUGGCGGCUGAAGUAAUGGAGGUAGAACGACAGCCUGGUCGACCAUUCGACUGGCGCACACCAUACCUCAACUGCCUAAUCCGCGGCGAACUGCCAGAAGAUCGGUCAGAGGCCCGUCGUAUCACUCGACGGGCCAAGUCAUAUGUGAUCUAUGGCGAAGACAAUGAGCUAUAUCGACGAAGCCCGACGGGGGUCUUACAGCGUUGCAUCACCGUGGAAGAAGGUCGAAAACUCCUCGAGGACCUACACUCGGGGGCUUGCGGCCACCAUGCUGCUCCACGGACCCUCGUAGGAAACGCUUUUCGACAAGGUUUCUACUGGCCGACGGCCAUGGCAGAUGCCAUCGAGCUCGUACGCUUGUGUCACGGGUGCCAGUUCUACGCCAAGCAGACGCACCUGCCCGCCCACGCUCUUCAGAUGAACCCCAUCACCUGGCCGUUUGCGGUAUGGGGGCUCGACCUAGUAGGACCCCUACAAAAGGCAAAAGGGGGGUACACCCACUUGUUGGUGGCCAUCGACAAAUUCUCUAAAUGGAUCGAGGCUCGACCCAUCACCAACAUCCGCUCCGAGCAGGCCGUCAUUUUCUUCACCGACAUCAUCCACCGGUUUGGGAUUCCCAACGUCAUCAUCACCGACAACAGCACUCAGUUCACCGGCAAAAAGUUCUUGGACUUCUGCGAUCAGCAUCACAUCCGUGUGAACUGGUCCGCAGUAGCCCACCCUCGAACUAAUGGCCAGGUCGAGCAUGCCAACGGCAUGAUUUUGCAAGGACUCAAGCCAAGAAUCUACAAUCGUUUGAAGAAAUUCGGCAAGAAAUGGGUCGAGGAGCUUUCCUCGGUCCUAUGGAGUCUAAGGACAACACCAAGCAGGUCCACAAAGUACACCCCAUUCUUCAUGGUCUACGGCUCCGAGGCUGUCCUUCCCACAGACCUCGAGUAUGGGUCACCUCGACUCAAGGCAUACAAUGAGCAAUCCAAUAAGGAGACUCAAGAAAAUGCGAUCGACCAACUCGAGGAGGCUCGAGACAUGGCCCUCCUCAACUCCGCCAGAUAUCAGCAGAAACUUCGACUCUACCACGACAAGCACGUGCGCAAGAGGGACCUCAACGUGGGCGACCUUGUCCUACGACGCCGGCAAAGCAAUCAAGGACGCCACAAGCUGACUCCACCUUGGGAAGGCCUGUAUGUGGUGGCCGAGGUCCUGAAGCCGGGAACGUACAAGUUGGCGGACGAGAAGGGGGCAGUCUUCACCAACGCAUGGAACAUCGAACAACUACGUCGAUUCUACCCCUAGAAGUUCUAAGCUUAUGUUCCUACGUACGUUUUGUACCAAGACUUUGUAAACGAAUGAAUGAAUAAAUAAAGUCUUUCCCUCGAGCAACUUCUUUUUGCGCCAAAAGAUUUACAAGUCAUAAUCUCGACGUUAGAAGGGGGCGCCGACUAUGACCCAUCAUAGUCAACACCCCCUCGGGGGCUACCAGGGGGACGACCCCCCCCCCCAAGCGUCGAAAAAGCCAAGAAAUUUUCUUUUCUUACUUAGUAAACCUUGCACGGUUCGAGUAGCUAAGGCGCCUCGAGCACCUCAAAGGUCGAGGGAUAACGAGCCGGAGAACUCCCACGCCCUCGGGCUAUGGAAACUCUACUCACUUCCUCACCCUUGAGGUGAUCGAGGUUGUUUUUGACGAAAAAUCAAGCAAGGGAUAUAAACGUAGGAACAAAGAGAAACAAAAGAACCUCGAGCAGAAAGACAAAUAAGCAUUUAACAAUCAUGAAAAGAUACUGUAUCACCUAACAGCAGAAUUAAUAAAGUAUCAUACAAGGGGCCCCAGGCGCCCUGAGCAGGCUCGCAGGCCUUAGUCCGCGGUACGAUCCUCACCACCCUCGCCUCCACCCGAGCCAGCUUCAGGAGGAAGCACCUCAGGCUCAAAAAGCUUGGCCAGCCUCUCUCCAAGAGCCUCCGCAUCAUCGAUCAAGGCGUGGAGCCUCUCUUCGUUCUCCGCGUCGGUCUUGGAGAUGUCGGUGACGAAGCCGUGGGACACCACCUCCAUGUCAUAGGAGAAGCCCGAGCAGACAACUAACAUCGCCCGCUUCACCCCAAUGUGGAGGGCGUCCCGCACUCGGUCUCUCAGCGUCGCACCCAAGUAGCACAGCUGGUCGACCAGUGCGUCGCCUCGAGCCCCCUCCCUCGACUCGUCCAUAGGCUCGACCUCCCACGAGGCCGAGAGGUCGCUUUUCGCCGUCCGCACGCGACGGUUCAAAGCGACCUCCGCCUCGAGCUGGGCCUUAGCAUUACGGGCCUCGGCUUGGGCGGCUAGGAGUUCGUCCUUGAGCCCUGUAAAUGCCAAUACAAGGAAGCUUUAGAAAAAACCCAAGCACACCUCAAAAAAGAAAUUCGACAAAGGAAACAUACCCCUGAUGCUCUCCUCCAGGGCCAUGUUCUCACCAACUAAUCUGGUGUUGGCCCUCUCAAUCUCUCUGUUGGAACGGGCCAGCUCGGUCUUGGCAACGCGAAGAUCUUCGAUCACCUUGCCAGCCUGAGCAAUGGCCCCACUCUUCUCCAGCAGCUCUCCCUUCAGACGUUCGACGUCGUCAGAGAGCCUGCGGGAUUGAGCCCGCUCCGCCUCGAGAUCUUCGAGGGCCUUCCUCUUGGCUUCCUCCGCGGCGCUCCUGGCGAUCUCGCCGCUCACGUGCUCCACCUUCAUCUUUUGGAAGGACUCCCGAAGGGAGUCCAAGUCGGUCUUGAGAAGGCCCUUCUCCUUGUCCAGGUCCGCGAUGACGCUCUUGAAGGACAGGGCCUCCUCUCGGGCUCUGGAUGCGGCCACCUCAACCGUCAGAGCCCGCUCCCGCAGCAACAUCGCCUCCUCCUCCGCCUUCCUCGAGGCCUCCCGAGCCUCAGCUAAAGCAGCCACCUUCGCCUUCUUCUCCUCCCCGAGCGCUAUAAGCUCUUUAUAAGUCUUGAGGAGUUUCUCCUGCGACUCGAGGAGUUGAUCCUUAAGGAGGGGGAGCUGCUCCCAGCCACCUCUCGUGGCAUGAAUGAAACUAGACUUGAUGCGGGAGGUCUCUUUCAUAUCCUGCGAACCAAGGAUCGAACGGUUAGAGCACAAAAACGAAAGGCUCCACGAAGGUCGAAGAUCGAAAAACACUUACGAAAUAAGCCGGCCCGAGCCCGUUGUUGAUAACGUCUGCGAGGAGCCCCACCACAUGCUUCAUCCAAAGGCGGAGCUCCUCGACGUGUUCCCACUUCUCCGCCUCCUUCCUAUCGUCCAGGAAGAUGUUAGGUUCAGACGGGUCAUGGGAAGCCCGGAUGCGGAUCCGAUCGGGGCACUAGUGCUCCAUCUCCCGGUCGGCCUGCGCCUUGACGCCGCGAAUGAGGUCCUCGACGGUCUCGAGGGAGCCCCCAUGGCGCAGGAACAGGUCGACGAGGCAUGGGAACUGCCCGUCGUCGUCCACCGUCUUCCAGGUUCCGUCCUUGGUCCCCGACGUCCCGAUCUCGUCCUCCUCGGAGGGAAAGUGGUCCUCCCAUGCCCGACGCUCCCGGAGGAACCCUGGGGCGAUCCCGUCCAUGCCGUAGAUCGUCCUCUUGAUCUCGGACUCGGGGUCGGUGGGGGUGCGCAUCAUGCAGGCGAGCGCCACCACUCCAUCCGCUCGCCCCGGCUCUGCCCGGAUCGCUGCAGGUGCCCCGGGAGGAGCCACGCUGGGGUCGGGGGGCCGUACACCGGCAGAUCCUCUUCCUGCUCACCGGGCCCUUGCGGCUCCGGCGGUACUGGCUGAGCCGGACCUUGGGGCGGGGGCUCCAGCAGUCCCUCCUCUUGGCCCCCCUGCUGCUGCUGCUCCUGCUGCUGUUGCUGCUGCUGCUGCUGCUGCUGCGGCUGCUGCUGUUGCUGCUGCUGCUGCUGCUGUUGCUACGCCUCAUGCUCCUGCGGCUCUCGCCUGCGGCCCUGCUCCUACGGCUGCCGCGCCGCCUCACGCUCCCGCUCUUCAUCUUCCUCCUUCUUCUUCUUCUGCUCCUCGAGGGCGCGGAGGCCGGCGGGCCAGGGAGUCGGUCCCGCGACGUGAGAGGUCGACGCUUCCUCCUCCAUAGGGCGGGCGCCUCCAGGCGUUUCGUUACCAUCAGACGUAUCACUGAUGGUGAUGGGUUCCCCCUCGACCCCCAAUCGAGGAGGCUCGGGGGCUCCCUCCGGCACUUGCGUCUGGGGCGCCUCACCACACGCCGGCAGCGACGGGGUAGGCUCGGAACGAGGCGGAGCACUCCCAGCGCCUACUGGAGGUUGGAAGUCGGAGGAGCCUACAAAAUAAAGAAUAAAGGCCGGUGACUACAAUGGUUAACGCAAGAGCAUCACAGAUCCCAAAAGUAAGCCACAAACCUGGCUCCUUGGAGGCGGCAGCCGCUUUGAGCCUCUUCGCCAUGGACGGCUGGGCCUGCUCGAGUGUCCGCUUCAGCCUGAGAAAAGAAAGAAAUAAGCGCGAAAAAGAUCAGCAUAUAAGGAAAGGCGGAAAACAAAAGCCACAACUUCGAAAAAGCUUACCCCACAGGGAGAACAGCUCGCCUCCCGCCGCCCCGACCGGUGGACCUCGAGCCACCUCGCGUCGGGGCUCCCGACCCCACGAGGGCAGGCGCGUCAGUUCCCGCCUGGCGGGCGCCGGGACUAGCGCUCCUACGACCGGCCUCUCUUUUGUCGGAGGCCGCGGCGCGACCACGAGUCAAUGGCCCUGUCGCCUGGGACCUAGCAUGGCCACCCGUCUUGGGCACGAGAGGAGGGCGCGGGGCGACCUGAGCAGCCGCGGGCGCAGGAGGGGUGUCGGCGCGCGGACGGUGGGAUCCACCUGGACCCCCCGUCAGAACUUCCGUCCGAGGAGCGUCGACAUCACCUCGAGAUGGACCCUCGAGGAUUCGGUCAAGGCGAGACGCCAUCCCCUCGGAAUCGUCGCUGUCGUCGUCGUCGUCAUCGUCGUCGUUGGGGGAUUCUUCCUCAGGCUCCCCCCUCUGCCUGGAUUUGGCUCGACGCUCCUCUAACGCUUGACGGUCGAGGUUCUUCUUCUUCUCCCCCUUCUUGGCAGAGUCCUUAGCGGACUUUAGCUUUUCGGCGGAUUGGCGCCGUUUGUCGCGAUCGACCUCAUCCUCCUUUACCGGAGGCCUCGAGGACCGGACGUCAAUCCGUCCCUGUCGAAAUAAAGGCAGUCUUAGAAAAGAGAAAGAGAGGGGAAGAAAAGAAACCCAGAAUCGAGGCUGCGCGCGUGAAGAAAACAUACCAGGUCGAUUGAGCCCGCAUCUGGCCUCAUGGGGAAGCCGUUAACAUGCUCCGGCUGAAAAUCACCGGCAAUUGCAGCCCUGACUCGGGCAAAGACUUCGUCAUCUGCCGGAGCCUCAUUGGACAUCCGGCACGCCUCGAGGUCCCGAGAUGAGACGCCAGGGCCCAUCUCAUCCAUCCUCAACGGCCGAGACAUCAAAGGGAGAACUCUCCGGUGAUGGACGGCCGAGAGGACGAGGGCGGCGGUCAAGCCCUCCGAGCGCAGCUUCUUCAUGGCGUCGAGGAGGGGGUCGAGCCGAGAUUGAUGAGCUUGGACGACGCCGUAUGUCCAGUCCGCUGGACGCUCCAUGAUCAGACGGCCCGAGUAGGAAGGCAGGAGGUUGUCGUCGUUCCGAAGGUAAAACCACUGGGAGUCCCAGCCGGCGUGGUUGGUCGAUAGCCCUACCGGGAUGUACUCCCGCGGCCUGUCCGUCUUCCCCGUCUUCUGCACAAGGUUGAGGCAUCCCGCCCGCACGGGCUUCCUUACACCCGUGGUUCCGGUGGGGGCAUGGAAAAGCUCGCCCCUGUAGAGGUGGAGCCACAGCUCCCAGUGCGGCAUCAUCCCCAAGUAGCCCUCACACACGGCGGCGAAGACCGCCGCGAUGGUGAUGGCGUUCGGGGAGAAGUGCUGGAGCUCCACCCCGUAGUGGAAGCAGAGGGCCCGCAUGAAGCGGCUCGGGGGCGCACCCAGGCCAUGGCGGUGGAACUUGGCGAACGACACCACGUAGCCCUCGGGCGGCUGGGGCUCCCGGUGAUUCGCCGGCGGCGCGAUCCACUCUGGCGACGAUAACGAGGUGCGGCGGCACAGCAGUCCCUCUUUCUCGAGCUCUAACAACCAGCGCUCCGUCAUCGACGACGGGCGCCAGUCGUCGGCGGCGACGAGUCUUACAGGCAUCACGACCGGAGGGACGGUGGACCCGCUACUGCUCGAGGAGUCGUGUGCGCGUGAGACGGCGAGAGAGCUAGGGAGGCAAGAAGGCUAAGGCAAGAGUGAAGAUGGGAGGCGGAAGAAAGAACGGCGGCGGUGCCGCGGUGUAUUUAUAAGCCAAGAUCCGCCAAUGGACAGAUCCGAGAAAUGAGGUAACGUCCCCCCAUAAAUGCACUACCUAACAGUCUUUCCCCCUUCACAGGCCGGGCGCUCCGAAUUCCACGCCGAUACGAUGUCAUAACGUCACCCGCCUAAAAAGGUGCGCCCAACAGGCAAAAAGGCGAACCGCCACGACCACUUCCUUCCCUUGUAAGCCAAGGGGCGUACCCGCGAAAGCCUCGAGAGGUCGCAGGCUGGCCCACCGAAAGGGUUCGACAGCCGAUCUCGAGCGCCAGAGUCAGGGAUCUCCAGCAAGCGGUCGAAGAUCGGGGUCCGCCUCGAAGUCUCGCUGGCGAUGUCCAAGGUAGGGUCGAGACAGUCGAGAGGAAUCCCCCCGACGGGAGGCAUCGAGCCGCUGGACUCUAUCGAAUGAGACCGGUAUCCCCGACCACGUCAACCCAGCUUUAUGAGAACGCCUCCGGGCUACAGCUGACCCCCUCGAAAAGGGCACAGGUUCUCACUUGGACUACCCGCUAGGAACUCAAUCUGGGGGGGAAGACGCUCGCUCUAUCGAGAGUACGUCGAAACCUCCACGUAAGGCAAAGCCGAUCAGAACCUUCCACCACUGGUGUCGACAGCGUUUCUGUGAAUUUGUCAAAAUAACCCCCGAAGGAGUUAAAAACUCCCUCGAGGGCUCGGGGCUACCCCCGCGAGGUCGCUCGCGCGCCCCCACGGAAGAUCGACCGUAAAGGCAAAAGUCUCCACUCGAGCGCCAGCGCUCGAAUGGAGACUCUGGGGCUACUGUCGAGGGUAUCAACAAAGGGUACCCUCACCAAGGCAUAUAACAAGGUUAUCCGUACGUAAGGGGAGGUCCUCGAUUCGACGCUCCAUCCGUACGUAUGCGCAGCCAUCGACGGCCACAUCCUCGAAGACGGAAAUAGCGUCGAGCGAAUCAAUCAGGCGUCGAGCUCUGGUUACCAUCGAAUACGGAACAGGCUCACGCGAACCGGAAGGCGUCGAGCGCAAGGACGCCGCCCGCCGCCUGACGCGCGCACGCGAGCCGGGACAUUAAAUGCGCCUGAUGCUUCCCCACCUAACACACGGGUCAUGGGAGGCGUGAUAGGGAACAGGCAUACGUCCCAUCGAUCUUUUUGCAGCCUUCCCCACCAAACGGCCCAGGACGUGUCAGGACGUGGGAAACAGAGAUGGCACGUCUAAUCAAGGCCCCCUCGAGGUGUCCAGGGUCAGCGCUCCGACAUCAGGACGGCGUACAGCGUCCGACCCUCGACUAAACAUGGUUCCUUUUUGGGGACGGGUCGGACGUCGACUAGCCACGCCGCAACCACUCCGCCGGAUUUGCCGCCGAACCGUACGAGCAUGCGACCGUUGAACCAGUACAAGACGGCGCGUAGAGCCGAAUGCAGGGGCACGCGUAAUCAUCACCAGGCUAUUAAGACGGGACGGCUCGAGGCUAUGCCGGUACGGAAGCCUCGAGUAGGUCAGUGCUCCAUACUGCUAUCGACUCCUAUUCUGACGCCUAUACAUGUACCCUGGGUCUCUCCUUGGAACUAUAAAAGGAGGGACUCAGGAAUAGAACACAAGACAGAACUCCACGCUCAUACGCAGUAGAACUUCACACUUCAUACCACGCUUGUAUUCACCCCUGUACAAGCACUUAGGUGCAAGAUAAUACAAACUCUCUCCCCCUGCUGGACGUAGGGCCUUCUCUUGCCCGAACCAGGCUAAAUCUCUGUGUCUUCUUGCAUCACCAUCUGGGAAAGGGAGCACGCAUACAAAUUCACUCGUUGGUGUGACCCCCCGUGGGGAAAACACCGACACCAGCCCCAAAGACAUAAUCCAUGACCGUGGUCCUGAAGAUCACGAGUCGGUCCUGAAGACCGAUCCGAACAUCAACUGUUGUACUCUUUUUUCCUUGAUGAGUUUUUCCCACUGGGUUUUCUCAUGCAAGGUUUUUAAUGAGGCAACAGGUGCAGCGUAAGCGAUGCAUGUGAUGUACACUUUUCUCCUACCCUUUUUUCCCACUGGGUUUUUGGGGGGAGUUUUUGAUGAGGCAUACACAUAGCAUAAAUGUGGCCAAGGGGGAGUGUUGUAAAUCAAAGUCUUCAACAGUGUAUGAAAAUGAGACUUUGAAUGUGGCCAAAUUUAUGAAGGAGGGAGAUGAAUUUCAAAGGUUUCAAACCCUAUAGAAAGUUUGUACUCAUUCCCAAUGUCCCUCUAUAAAUAAGGAGGGACUCUCAUCCUUGUACAUGGACAUCCAGAAAGUGAAAUACAGAAAUAACUUCUUCUUCCUCACAUCUCUCUGUCUGUGUUUUGAGUGCUUGUGAGCAAUCUAGAGAAGUCGAUUU